rnacentral:rRNA from 1 species
ACGGAAGGCAGCAGUGGGGAAUAUUGCACAAUGGGCGCAAGCCUGAUGCAGCGAUGCCGCGUGAGGGAAGAAGGUUUUCGGAUUGUAAACCUCUGUCAACAGGGACGAAAAUGACGGUACCUGUGAAGGAAGCUCCGGCUAACUACGUGCCAGCAGCCGCGGUAAUACGUAGGGGGCAAGCGUUAUCCGGAUUUACUGGGUGUAAAGGGAGCGUAGACGGUAAUGCAAGUCAGAAGUGAAAGCCCAAGGCUCAACCAUGGGACUGCUUUUGAAACUGUAAUACUAGAGUGCAGGAGAGGUAAGUGGAAUUCCUAGUGUAGCGGUGAAAUGCGUAGAUAUUAGGAGGAACACCAGUGGCGAAGGCGGCUUACUGGACUGUAACUGACGUUGAGGCUCGAAAGCGUGGGGAGCAAACAGGAUUAGAUACCCUGGUA